GCUGACGUAGCCUAAUUAAAGCAUAACACUGAAGAUGUUAAGAUGGGCCUUAAGAAGCCCCGCGAGCA
rnacentral:tRNA from 1 species